rnacentral:misc_RNA from 1 species
UCUCCGUUGGUGAACCUGCGGAAGGAUCAUUCAUAAUAAAGUGUUUUAUGGCACUUUUUAAAAAUCCAUAUCCACCUUGUGUGCAAUGUUAGAUCUCGUCAAUCUUGGCGAGAUUUUUAUACAUCAACUCAUUCUUUAACUAAUUUGUCUGAAAAAUAUUAUGAAUACUUAAUUCAAAAUACAACUUUCAACAACGGAUCUCUUGGCUCUC